rnacentral:rRNA from 1 species
AGAGUUUGAUCAUGGCUCAGAACAAACGCUGGCGGCGUGUCUUAAGCAUGCAAGUCGAGGGGCAGCACGGUGUAGCAAUACACGGGUGGCGACCGGCGCACGGGUGAGUAACGCGUAUGCAACCUGCCUACUACAAGGGGAUAACCCGUUGAAAGAUGGACUAAUACCCUAUAACACAGGGAAUCCGCAUGGAUAUAUUUGUUAAAGAUUUAUCGGUAGUAGAUGGGCAUGCGUUCCAUUAGCUUGUUGGUGAGGUAACGGCUCACCAAGGCAACGAUGGAUAGGGGAACUGAGAGGUUGAUCCCCCACACUGGAACUGAGACACGGUCCAGACUCCUACGGGAGGCAGCAGUGAGGAAUAUUGGUCAAUGGACGAGAGUCUGAACCAGCCAAGUCGCGUGAAGGAAGACGGCCCUACGGGUUGUAAACUUCUUUUGUAAGGGAAUAAAUAGUCUUACGUGCUAAGACGUUGCAGGUACCUUACGAAUAAGGAUCGGCUAACUCCGUGCCAGCAGCCGCGGUAAUACGGAGGAUCCGAGCGUUAUCCGGAUUUAUUGGGUUUAAAGGGUGCGCAGGCGGCAUGUUAAGUCGGCGGUGAAAUUUUGCAGCUCAACUGUAAAAGAGCCUUCGAAACUGGCAAGCUUGAGUGUGGAUGAAGUAGGCGGAAUUUGUGGUGUAGCGGUGAAAUGCAUAGAUAUCACAAAGAACACCGAUUGCGCAGGCAGCUUACUAAACCAUAACUGACGCUCAUGCACGAAGGCGUGGGGAUCAAACAGGAUUAGAUACCCCGGUAGU